rnacentral:rRNA from 1 species
AACGUAGGAGACAAACGUUAUCCGGAUUUACUGGGCGUAAAGGGCGUGUAGGCGGUUUGUUAAGUUUGGCGUGAAAGCUCUCGGCUAAACCGGGAGAGGUCGUUGGAUACUGGCAAACUAGAGGAUGGUAGAGGCGUGUGGAAUUCCGGGUGUAGUGGUGAAAUGCGUAGAGAUCCGGAGGAACACCAGUGGCGAAGGCGACACGCUGGGCCAUACCUGACGCUAAAGCGCGACAGCAUGGGGAGCAAACGGG